GAAUGCUGACAUAAGUAACGAUAAAGCGGGUGAAAAGCCCGCUCGCCGGAAGACCAAGGGUUCCUGUCCAACGUUAAUCGGGGCAGGGUGAGUCGACCCCUAAGGCGAGGCCGAAAGGCGUAGUCGAUGGGAAACGGGUUAAUAUUCCCGUACUUGGUGUUACUGCGAAGGGGGGACGGAGAAGGCUAUGUUGGCCGGGCGACGGUUGUCCCGGUUUAAGCGUGUAGGUGUGUGUUCCAGGUAAAUCCGGUUCACUUUAACACUGAGGCGUGACGACGAGGCACUACGGUGCUGAAGCAACAAAUGCCCUGCUUCCAGGAAAAGCCUCUAAGCAUCAGGUAACAUCAAAUCGUACCCCAAACCGACACAGGUGGUCAGGUAGAGAAUACCAAGGCGCUUGAGAGAACUCGGGUGAAGGAACUAGGCAAAAUGGUGCCGUAACUUCGGGAGAAGGCACGCUGACACGUAGGUGAAGUGAUUUACUCACGGAGCUGAAGUCAGUCGAAGAUACCAGCUGGCUGCAACUGUUUAUUAAAAACACAGCACUGUGCAAACACGAAAGUGGACGUAUACGGUGUGACGCCUGCCCGGUGCCGGAAGGUUAAUUGAUGGGGUCAGCGCAAGCGAAGCUCCUGAUCGAAGCCCCGGUAAACGGCGGCCGUAACUAUAACGGUCCUAAGGUAGCGAAAUUCCUUGUCGGGUAAGUUCCGACCUGCACGAAUGGCGUAAUGAUGGCCAGGCUGUCUCCACCCGAGACUCAGUGAAAUUGAACUCGCUGUGAAGAUGCAGUGUACCCGCGGCAAGACGGAAAGACCCCGUGAACCUUUACUAUAGCUUGACACUGAACAUUGAGCCUUGAUGUGUAGGAUAGGUGGGAGGCUUUGAAGUGUGGACGCCAGUCUGCAUGGAGCCGACCUUGAAAUACCACCCUUUAAUGUUUGAUGUUCUAACGUGGACCCGUUACCCGGGUUGCGGACAGUGUCUGGUGGGUAGUUUGACUGGGGCGGUCUCCUCCUAAAGAGUAACGGAGGAGCACGAAGGUUGGCUAAUCCUGGUCGGACAUCAGGAGGUUAGUGCAAUGGCAUAAGCCAGCUUGACUGCGAGCGUGACGGCGCGAGCAGGUGCGAAAGCAGGUCAUAGUGAUCCGGUGGUUCUGAAUGGAAGGGCCAUCGCUCAACGGAUAAAAGGUACUCCGGGGAUAACAGGCUGAUACCGCCCAAGAGUUCAUAUCGACGGCGGUGUUUGGCACCUCGAUGUCGGCUCAUCACAUCCUGGGGCUGAAGUAGGUCCCAAGGGUAUGGCUGUUCGCCAUUUAAAGUGGUACGCGAGCUGGGUUUAGAACGUCGUGAGACAGUUCGGUCCCUAUCUGCCGUGGGCGCUGGAGAACUGAGGGGGGCUGCUCCUAGUACGAGAGGACCGGAGUGGACGCAUCACUGGUGUUCGGGUUGUCAUGCCAAUGGCACUGCCCGGUAGCUAAAUGCGGAAGAGAUAAGUGCUGAAAGCAUCUAAGCACGAAACUUGCCCCGAG
rnacentral:rRNA from 1 species